rnacentral:rRNA from 1 species
GUUUGAUCAGUGGCUCGAGGAACGAACGCUGGCGGUGUGCUUCACACAUGCAAGUCGAACGAGGUAGCAAUACCUAGUGGCGGACGGGUGAGUAACGCGUGGGAAUCUGCCUUUAGAUGGGGGAUAACGGGUCGAAAGACUCGCUAAUACCGCACAUGACGAAAGUUGAAAGGAGUAAUCCGUCUAAAGAUGAGCCCGCGUCCGAUUAGCUAGUUGGUAGAGUAAAAAGCCUACCAAGGCGACGAUCGGUAGCUGGUCUGAGAGGAUGAUCAGCCACAAUGGGACUGAGACACGGCCCAUACUCCUACGGGAGGCAGCAGUGGGAAUUUUACGCAAUGGCGAAAGCCUGACGUAGCGACACCGCGUGAGCGAAGAAGCCCCUUGGGGUGUAAAGCUCUGUCAGCUGGAACGAAAAAAUGACGGUACCAGCAGAGGAAGCAUCGGCUAACUACGUG